UUUUAUGAGAGUUUGAUCCUGGCUCAGGACGAACGCUGGCGGCGUGCCUAAUACAUGCAAGUCGAACGCUUCUUUUUCCACCGGAGCUUGCUCCACCGGAAAAAGAGGAGUGGCGAACGGGUGAGUAACACGUGGGUAACCUGCCCAUCAGAAGGGGAUAACACU
rnacentral:rRNA from 1 species